UACGUAGGGGGCGAGCGUUGUCCGGAUUUAUUGGGCGUAAAGAGCGUGUAGGCGGCCAGGUAGGUCUGCUGUGAAAACUCGAGGCUCAACCUCGAGACGUCGGCGGAAACCAUCUGGCUAGAGUCCGGAAGAGGAGAGUGGAAUUCCCAGUGUAGCGGUGAAAUGCGUAGAUAUUGGGAGGAACACCGGUGGCGAAGGCGGCCCCCUGGACCGGUACUGACGCUGAGGCGCGAAAGCGUGGGUAGCAAACGGG
rnacentral:rRNA from 1 species